rnacentral:rRNA from 1 species
AGAGUUUGAUCCUGGCUCAGAACGAACGCUGGCGGCGUGGAUAAGACAUGCAAGUCGAACGAGAUUUUUUCCUGUAGCAAUACAGGGAAAAGUCUAGUGGCGAACGGGUGCGUAACACGUGGGCAAUCUGCCUUAAAGUGGGGGAUAGCUCGGCGAAAGCCGAAUUAAUACCGCAUGUGAUCAGGGGAGACAUCUUCCCGAAAUCAAAAGUGGCGCAAGCUACUGCUUUUUGAGGAGCCCGCGGCCUAUCAGCUAGUUGGUGAGGUAACGGCUCACCAAGGCUUUGACGGGUAGCUGGUCUGAGAGGACGACCAGUCACACUGGAACUGAGACACGGUCCAGACACCUACGGGUGGCAGCAGUCGAGAAUUUUUCUCAAUGGGGGCAACCCUGAAGGAGCGACGCCGCGUGGAGGAUGAAGGUCUUCGGGUUGUAAACUCCUGUCAUUUGGGAACAAGUGUCGGUACCUAACUGCUACCGGCUUGAUAGUACCAGAAGAGGAAGGGACGGCUAACUCUGUGCCAGCAGCCGCGGUAAUACAGAGGUCUCAAGCGUUGUUCGGAUUCAUUGGGCGUAAAGGGUGUGUAGGUGGCGCCGUAAGUCGGGUGUGAAAUUUCGGAGCUUAACUCCGAAACUGCAUUCGAUACUGCGGUGCUUGAGGACUGGAGAGGAGACUGGAAUUCAUGGUGUAGCAGUGAAAUGCGUAGAGAUCAUGAGGAAGACCAGUGGCGAAGGCGGGUCUCUGGACAGUUCCUGACACUGAGACACGAAGGCCAGGGGAGCAAAUGGGAUUAGAUACCCCAGUAGUCC